rnacentral:rRNA from 1 species
GGCAACUGAUGCUUAUUGCACCACAUGUGUUUUUCUUUGAAACAAACUUGCUUUGGCGGUGGGCCCAGCCUGCCGCCAGAGGUCUAAACUUACAACCAAUUUUUUAUCAACUUGUCACACCAGAUUAUUACUUAAUAGUCAAAACUUUCAACAACGGAUCUCUUGGUUCUCGCAUCGAUGAAGAACGCAGCGAAAUGCGAUACGUAAUAUGAAUUGCAGAUAUUCGUGAAUCAUCGAAUCUUUGAACGCACAUUGCGCCCUCUGGUAUUCCGGAGGGCAUGCCUGUUUGAGCGUCGUUUCUCCCUCAAACCGCUGGGUUUGGUGUUGAGCAAUACGACUUGGGUUUGCUUGAAAGACGGUAGUGGUAAGGCGGGAUCGCUUUGACAAUGGCUUAGGUCUAACCAAAAACAUUGCUUGCGGCGGUAACGUCUACCACGUAUAUCUUCAAACUUUGACCUCAAAUCAGGUAGGACUACCCGCUGAACUUAAGCAUAUCAAAGGCCGGGAGGAA